rnacentral:rRNA from 2 species
AACGAACGCUGGCGGCAGGCUUAACACAUGCAAGUCGAGCGCGUAGCAAUACGAGCGGCAGACGGGUGAGUAACGCGUGGGAAUCUACCCAUCCCUACGGAAUAACGCAUGGAAACGUGUGCUAAUACCGUAUACGCCCUUAGGGGGAAAGAUUUAUCGGGGAUGGAUGAGCCCGCGUUGGAUUAGCUAGUUGGUGGGGUAAAGGCCUACCAAGGCGACGAUCCAUAGCUGGUCUGAGAGGAUGAUCAGCCACAUUGGGACUGAGACACGGCCCAAACUCCUACGGGAGGCAGCAGUGGGGAAUAUUGGACAAUGGGCGCAAGCCUGAUCCAGCCAUGCCGCGUGAGUGAUGAAGGCCUUAGGGUUGUAAACUGCUUUUAUAAGUGAAGAAUAUGACGGUAACUUAUGAAUAAGCACCGGCUAACUACGUG